rnacentral:sRNA from 1 species
GACUGCGAGAAGAUGGCUGCGUUGCACUGUGCGCUCUACUGCGGUCAAGGUGCGCAGUUCCUGGAAGGCCAGUGGAGGCAGAGAGCAGAUUUAAAUACCAACAGAGUUCUGUCUGACUUUUUAAAGAUUAUUCAAUGGAUUUCUGAGAAUGUCUCUGCCUGCCAUUCAUUUGACCUCAUUCAGGAAUUUAUAAUUGCUUCUUCAUACUGGAGUGUAUAUUCAGAGACAAGUAACAUGGACAAACUAUUGCCACAUUCCUCAGUGCUCACUUGGAAUACAAUUGUGCAGGGUGGAGCAGCUAUUGUGGACACGCACAGGGUGACAUCAGGAAGUCCAAGAAGAGCGAUAUAAAGAAACCUGUGGUUAUAACCU